CUGCGGAAGGAUCAUUAUAGAAAUAAAACUGAACAGGCUGUUUGCUGGUCCUCUCGAGGGCAUGUGCACGCCUGUCGUCUUUAUUCUUCCAACCGUGCACAUAUUGUAGGCCUGGAGUUUUUUCUUAUCGUUCGAAUAGAUUGAGGACUGCCGUCGAGGCUUUGCCUUGUGAUUCCAGGUCUAUGUUGUAAUACAUUUUCACAACGUGUUUAAGAAUGUCGAGUACUGGGGAUAACAAAUAUACAACUUUCAGCAACGGAUCUCUUGGCUCUCGCAUCGAUGAAGAACGCAGCGAAAUGCGAUAAGUAAUGUGAAUUGCAGAAUUCAGUGAAUCAUCGAAUCUUUGAACGCAUCUUGCGCUCCUUGGUAUUCCGAGGAGCAUGCCUGUUUGAGUGUCAUCAAAAGUUCUCAACCAUGCUGGUUCUUCUGGUAUGGCUUGGAUUUGGGGGUUGCAGGCUUUGAACCAAAGUCAGCUCCUCUUGAAAGGAUUAGUGGUAACCAGAGUACCUUUGGGCGUGAUAAUUAUCUAUGCUUUGCUGUGUACUGUGUGUGAGCUGCUUCCAACCGAGUGUUGACAAAUU
rnacentral:rRNA from 1 species